GUGGGAGCGCGCCCCGCUCCUGAUCCGUUGUUGCGCCUCUUGCUCCGUGGCUAAGGCGCGGACGGACGCGGAGGCGAGUGCAGGAAGAGCCGCCAGCACCACAGCCGCCGUCAGGGUUUGAGGACGGCCGUGGGCUCCGUCAAGGUGCAGCCGCGGCGGCGGAGGGCUUCCUGCGCUGCAGCCCAAGCGCGCGUGAGCCGGGGUGCGAGCAGCUGCCGGUGCCUCCGCGGCUGCAGCUGUGGAACUUGCUGGCGCUGCUGCGGAGCGGUCUCACCCUGCGGAGCAACUGCAGCGCCACUAGGGCCAGGCGCCAGCUGCUUCCCACCCCACAAUGCAAGAGGCUGUUUGGAGCAGAGAGAUGUCCAAAACUAUUGUCCAGAUUUGGUGUCACCUAGGGUAAGUCACUCAAGCUUGUUUUGCAUUACAUUUGUCCUGUAUUUGAUAAUACCUGUCAGACAUGACUGAGCAACUUCACUUUUACUUUUCACUUUCAUGCAUUGGAUAAGGAAAUGACAACCCACUCCAGUGUUCUGGCCUGGAGAAUUCCAG
rnacentral:lncRNA from 1 species